rnacentral:rRNA from 1 species
UACGUAGGGACCAAGCGUUGUUCGGAUUUACUGGGCGUAAAGGGCGCGUAGGCGGCGCGGUAAGUCACUUGUGAAAUCUCUGAGCUUAACUCAGAACGGCCAAGUGAUACUGCAGUGCUAGAGUGCAGAAAGGGCAAUCGGAAUUCUUGGUGUAGCGGUGAAAUGCGUAGAUAUCAAGAGGAACACCUGAGGCGAAGGCGGGUUGCUAGGCUGACACUGACGCUGAUGCGCGAAAGCUAGGGGAGCAAACGGG